rnacentral:SRP_RNA from 1 species
GGAGGCUGGCGGCGGACGAGCCGCUCGCCAACCGGGUCAGGUCCGGAAGGAAGCAGCCCCAACGAGUUUUCCGGUUCGGGUUGCCGUUCCAGUCUCC